GCGAAGCCUGAUGCGCGACGCCGCGUGAGGGAUGAAGGCCUUCGGGUUGUAAACCUCUUUCAGCAGGGAAGAAGCGAAAGUGACGGUACCUGCAGAAGAAGCGCCGGCUAACUACGUGCCAGCAGCCGCGGUAAUACGUAGGGCGCAAGCGUUGUCCGGAAUUAUUGGGCGUAAAGAGCUCGUAGGCGGUUUGUCGCGUCUGCUGUGAAAACCUGAGGCUCAACCUCGGGCUUGCAGUGGGUACGGGCAGACUAGAGUGCGGUAGGGGUGACUGGAAUUCCUGGUGUAGCGGUGGAAUGCGCAGAUAUCAGGAGGAACACCGAUGGCGAAGGCAGGUCACUGGGCCGCAACUGACGCUGAGGAGCGAAAGCAUGGGGAGCGAACAGGAUUAGAUACCCUGGUAGUCCAUGCCGUAAACGUUGGGCACUAGGUGUGGGGCUCAUUCCACGAGUUCCGUGCCGCAGCAAACGCAUUAAGUGCCCCGCCUGGGGAGUACGGCCGCAAGGCUAAAACUCA
rnacentral:rRNA from 1 species